UACGUAGGGUGCAAGCGUUGUCCGGAAUUAUUGGGCGUAAAGAGCUCGUAGGCGGUCUGUCGCGUCGGCUGUGAAAACUCGGGGCUCAACCCCGAGCCUGCAGUCGAUACGGGCAGACUAGAGUGCUGUAGGGGAGACUGGAAUUCCUGGUGUAGCGGUGAAAUGCGCAGAUAUCAGGAGGAACACCGGUGGCGAAGGCGGGUCUCUGGGCCGAUAUCGACGCUGAGGAGCGAAAGCCAGGGGAGCAAACGGG
rnacentral:rRNA from 1 species